UACGAAGGGGGCUAGCGUUGCUCGGAAUCACUGGGCGUAAAGCGCACGUAGGCGGAUUGCUAAGUCAGGGGUGAAAUCCUGGAGCUCAACUCCAGAACUGCCUUUGAUACUGGCAACCUUGAGUCCGGGAGAGGUGAGUGGAACUGCGAGUGUAGAGGUGAAAUUCGUAGAUAUUCGCAAGAACACCAGUGGCGAAGGCGGCUCACUGGCCCGGUACUGACGCUGAGGUGCGAAAGCGUGGGGAGCAAAUAGG
rnacentral:rRNA from 1 species